rnacentral:rRNA from 1 species
UACGUAGGGUGCAAGCGUUGUCCGGAAUUAUUGGGCGUAAAGAGCUCGUAGGCGGUCUGUCGCGUCGGAUGUGAAAAUCCAGGGCUCAACCCUGGACCUGCAUUCGAUACGGGCAGACUAGAGGUAUGCAGGGGAGAACGGAAUUCCUGGUGUAGCGGUGAAAUGCGCAGAUAUCGGGAGGAACACCUAUGGCGAAGGCAGCUCGCUGGGACGUUACUGACGCUGAGACGCGAAAGCGUGGGGAGCGAACAGG